AUGACGGCUGGGGAGGGCAAUGCAGUGCAAGACCUACUCCUAGAAUUCCACCUCGACAAACAAACUCUACAACUCACACAGAUACCAGAUGAAUUACGCGGCGACCACUUUGUUCUCGCGCCGACCGUGGUGGACGCGCCCGUCGGCAUCGCCGGCGUGAUUGAGAACUCUAGACUGGACAAUCUACUGCCCGCUGGUCCUGCUGAGAAUGGUGGCAUUGGGCUUCUGCCUUUUGAGAUGGGGUACGCUGAUGAGGAGGAAGAUGAACUGGCAGAUGACUGGACUGAGCCGCGGGUGAUCGGGGUCUCGGAGGAAGGGGACACCAUUUUCUUGCAGACGGAGAUGGGUAUUUUCAUGGUCAACUCAGAGUCUGGGCAGCAUAAGCGAGUUCUUCAAGCGGAUCAGUCUUUCUCGGGUGUUUAUCCCUACUCCACCUUCUAUACAGCAGCUGGUAAAGCAGUUUUUGAUGAUGUACAACAGGACCAACAGAACAACAAUAUACAAUCAGGUCAGCAUGCAUCUCAAUUAAUUAAACAAAGUGGUGGUGGGAGCUUU
rnacentral:rRNA from 1 species